rnacentral:rRNA from 1 species
GGGACUGUAGGCUGGUCGUGCCACCGGUACGUACUGGUCUCACUGAUUCCUCCUUCCUGAAGAACCGUAAUGCCAUUAAUUUGGUGUUGCGGGGAAACAGGACUGUUACUUUGAAAAAAUUAGAGUGUUUAAAGCAAGCAAACGCUUGAAUACAUUAGCAUGGAAUAAUGAAAUAGGACGAUCGAUCCUAUUUUGUUGGUUUCUAGGAUUGACGUA